rnacentral:sRNA from 1 species
GUUCUCUGCAGGCUCUUUCCUUGUCAUGUUUCUCCCCUGGGGUUUGCAGCCUGGCUUUUCAUUUUUAGUAUCCUUCUGAAAGAAGAGAGAAAAAUUUUCAGCAAAGAAGGCAAGUAAAAGAUGGAAGUUAAAUUAUGAGAAUUAAAAAGACAACAUUGAGCAGAGAUGAAAAAGGAAGGGAGGAAAAGGUGGAAAAGAAAAGAAGAUAAGAAGCGAGUAGUGCUCUCUAACCUGCUCUUUGAAGGAUGGUCUCACAAAGAGAACCCCAACAGACAUCAUCGUGGGAAUCAAAUCAAGACCAGCAAGUACACCGUGUUGUCCUUCAUCCCCAAAAACAUUUUUGAGCAGCUACACCGGUUUGCCAAUCUCUAUUUUGUGGGCAUUGCGGUUCUGAAUUUUAUCCCUGUGGUCAAUGCUUUCCAGCCUGAGGUGAGCAUGAUACCAAUCUGUGUUAUCCUGGCAGUCACUGCCAUCAAGGACGCUUGGGAAGACCUCCGGAGGUACAAAUCGGAUAAAGUCAUCAAUAACCGAGAGUGCCUCAUCUACAGCAGAAAAGAGCAGACCUACGUGCAGAAGUGCUGGAAGGAUGUGCGCGUGGGAGACUUCAUCCAAAUGAAGUGCAAUGAGAUUGUCCCAGCAGACAUACUCCUCCUUUUUUCCUCGGACCCCAAUGGGAUAUGCCAUCUGGAAACUGCCAGCUUGGAUGGAGAGACAAACCUCAAGCAAAGACGUGUCGUGAAGGGCUUCUCACAGCAGGAGGUACAGUUCGAACCAGAGCUUUUCCACAAUACCAUCGUGUGUGAGAAACCCAACAACCACCUCAACAAAUUUAAGGGUUAUAUGGAGCAUCCUGACCAGACCAGGACUGGCUUUGGCUGUGAGAGUCUUCUGCUUCGAGGCUGCACCAUCAGAAACACCGAGAUGGCUGUUGGCAUUGUCAUCUAUGCAGGCCAUGAGACGAAAGCCAUGCUGAACAACAGUGGCCCCCGGUACAAACGCAGCAAGAUUGAGCGGCGCAUGAACAUAGACAUCUUCUUCUGCAUUGGGAUCCUAAUCCUCAUGUGCCUUAUUGGAGCUGUAGGUCACAGCAUCUGGAAUGGGACCUUUGAAGAACACCCUCCCUUCGAUGUGCCAGAUGCCAAUGGCAGCUUCCUUCCCAGUGCCCUUGGGGGCUUCUACAUGUUCCUCACAAUGAUCAUCCUGCUCCAGGUGCUGAUCCCCAUCUCUUUGUAUGUCUCCAUUGAGCUGGUGAAGCUCGGGCAAGUGUUCUUCUUGAGCAAUGACCUUGACCUGUAUGAUGAAGAGACCGAUUUAUCCAUUCAAUGUCGAGCCCUCAACAUCGCGGAGGACUUGGGCCAGAUCCAGUACAUCUUCUCUGAUAAGACGGGGACCCUGACAGAGAACAAGAUGGUGUUCCGACGUUGCACCAUCAUGGGCAGCGAGUAUUCUCACCAAGAAAAUGGUACAGGAGCUCCCAAGGGCUCCAUCCCUCUUUCUAAAAGGAAAUACCCUGCUCUCCUAAGAAACGAGGAGAUAAAAGACAUUCUCCUGGCUCUCUUAGAGGCUGUGUGGCAUUUCCACAAGUUGCUUCCUGUAUCCCUGUGGUCUUCCUUGUCACAGAUCAGGGCUGUUCCAAUUACUCGUAAACUUUCAUUUGUUUACAAAGGUUAGAAGUUAUCCCAUAUGUGGUUCCCCUUCAGCUGAUCUUUGUCUGGUGCCAGACAAAGCACUUUAUGAGACGAGUUUUUUAUCUGUCAGCAAUGGAUUGGAGACAUUUCCCAAUUGUGUGCCAGUCACACAACCAAGGCUUGGGAAUUUCUCAGGCCACCUUACCUGACAUGUCAGGGCAGGUCUGUGUCUAGGUGCAUGGUCAGAUUUAACACAUCCAGAAGAUGUCUUCUAUUCUAACAGAUCUCUUAGCUUGUCACUGAGGCAAAGUUUUGAUUUAGGAGAUAGGGCUAUAAAAUGCCUGGACUGUUACCUUGCAUGGACUGAAUAUGACUGAUAAAACUGACCUGAUUCCUUCAGCCAUCAUCUGCCCAACUUCGUUCCCCUCCCCACCCCCCCACAACACACACACACACUUUCUAAGAAAAGAAAAGAAAUUCUUUUUUUUCAAUACUUUAAGUUCUGGGAUACAUGUGCAGAAUGUGCAGGUUUGUUACAUAGGUAUACAUGUGUCAUGGUGGUUUGCAGCACCCACCAACCCAUCAUCUACCUUAGGUAUUUCUCCUAAUGCUAUCCCUCCCCUAGCCCUCAACUCCCCGAUGGGCUCCAGUGUGUGAUGUUCCCCUCCAUGUCCAUGUGUUCUCAUUGUUCAAUUCCCACUUAUGAGUGAGAACAUGCAGUAUUUGGUUUUCUGUUCUUGUGUUAGUUUGCUGAUGGUUUCCUGUUCAUCCGUGUCCCUGCAAAGGACAUGAACUCAUCCUUUUUUAUGGCUGCAUAGUAUUCCAUGGUGUAUAUGUGCCACAUUUUCUUUAUCCAGUCUAUCGUUGAUGGGCACUGGGGUUGGUUCCAAGUCUUAGCUAUUGUGAACAGUGCUGCAAUAAACUUACAUGUGCAUGUGUCUUUAUAGUAGAAUGAUUUAUAAUCCUUUGGGUAUAUACCCAGUAAUGGGAUUGCUGGUCAAAUGGUAUUUCUGGUUCUAGAUCCUUGAGGAAUCUUUGUCUUCCACAAUGGUUGAACUAAUUUGUACUCCCACCAACAGUGUAAAAGUAUUCCUAUUUCUCCACAUCCUCUUCAGCAUCUGUUGUGUCCUGACAUUUUAAUGAUCGCUAUUCUCACUGGUGUGAGAUGUUAUCUCAUUGUGGUUUUGAUUUGCAUUUCUCUAAUGACCAGUAAUGAUGAGCUUUUUUUUAUAUGUUUGUUGGCUGCAUAAAUGUCUUCUUUUGAGAAUUGUCUGUUCAUAUCCUUCACCCACUUUUUGAGGAAAACAAACCCUUAAAAGAGCAGUAUUCAUUCUUUUGAGUGUGAGGGAUGGAGAAAGAGAAAGAUGGAGAGAGUAUUAUAAGCAGCUCUAUCCCCUUUGCCAUGGUGAUAGCAGACCAUUCACAUGGGAGCUUCUGGUCUCUUUGUAAUAAUAAUAAGAGCCACAUUACCAGUACUUAGAGUAUGCUAGUUAUUUUAACACAUUGUAUCAUUAAAUCUUCAAAACAUCCCUAUGAGUUAGAAACUAAAAAAAAAAAAAAAAAAAAAAAAAAAAAAAAAA